rnacentral:rRNA from 1 species
UACAGAGGGGGCAAGCGUUGUUCGGAAUUACUGGGCGUAAAGGGCGCGUAGGUGGCCUUCUAAGUUGAACGUGAAAUCCCUGGGCUCAACCCAGGAACUGCGUCCAAGACUGGGAGGCUUGAAUCCGGGAGAGGGAUGCGGAAUUCCAGGUGUAGCGGUGAAAUGCGUAGAUAUCAGGAGGAACACCGGUGGCGAAGGCGGGUCUCUGGGCCGAUACUGACGCUGAGGAGCGAAAGCGUGGGGAGCGAACAGG